rnacentral:rRNA from 1 species
UGAAUACGAGACGCUACGGCGUCGAAGCAGUCUAUGUCAGACUUCCAAGAAAAGCUCGCAAUGUCAUAAACAAAUAAUGCCUGUACCAUAACCGACACAGGUGGGUAGGUAGAGUAUACUAAGGGGCGCGAGAUAACUCUCUCUAAGGAACUCGGCAAAAUGACUCCGUAACUUCGGGAGAAGGAGUGCCUUAUUUAUAAGGUUGCAAUAACAAGAUCCAAGCAACUGUUUAUCAAAAACACAGGUCUCCGCUAAGUCGUAAGACGAUGUAUGGGGGCUGACGCCUGCCCAGUGCCAGAAGGUUAAAGAAGUUGGUUAGCAUUCGCGAAGCUGAUAACUGAAGCCCUGGUGAACGGCGGCCGUAACGAUAACGGUCCUAAGGUAGCGAAAUUCCUUGUCGGGUAAGUUCCGACCCGCACGAAAGGCGUAAUGAUUUGGAUACUGUCUCGGAGAGGGGCUCGGUGAAAUAGACUUGUCUGUGAAGAUGCGGACUACCUGCACCUGGACAGAAAGACCCUAUGAAGCUUUACUGUAACUUGAAAUUGAAAUUGGACUUUAUUUGCGCAGCAUAGGUGGGAGGCUUUGAGAGUAUUCUUGCGGGAAUAUUGGAGCCAUCAGUGAGAUACCACUCUUGUAAUGUUAGAUUUCUAACUUUGUAUCAUUAUCUGGUCAAAGAACAGUUUCAGGCGGGCAGUUUGACUGGGGCGGUCGCCUCCCAAAUGGUAACGGAGGCGUACAAAGGUUUCCUCUGAACGGGUAGAAAUCGUAUCUAGAGUGUAAAGGCAUAAGGAAGCUUGACUGUGAGACCUACAAGUCGAGCAGGGACGAAAGUCGGUCUUAGUGAUCUGACGGUGCUGAGUGGAAAGGCCGUCACUCAACGGAUAAAAGUUACUCUAAGGAUAACAGGCUGAUCUCCCCCAAGAGUUCACAUCGACGGGGAGGUUCGGCACCUCGAUGUCGGCUCAUCGCAUCCUGGGGCGGUAGCACGUCCCAAGGGUUGGGCUGUUCGCCCAUGAAAGCGGUACGCGAGCUGGGUUCAGAACGUCGUGAGACAGUUCGGUCCAUAUCCGGUGUAGGCGUUAGAAUAUUGAGAGGAGCCUUCUUUAGUACGAGAGGACCGAGAAGGACAUACCUCUGGUGUACCAGUUAUCGUGCCAACGGUAAACGCUGGGUAGCUAUGUAUGGAGAGGAUAACCGCUGAAAGCAUCUAAGUGGGAAGCCCACCUCAAGAUAAGUAUUCCC